UACGUAGGAGGCAAGCGUUAUCCGGAUUUAUUGGGCGUAAAGAGGGUGCAGGCGGCUUUGUAAGUCGGAUGUAAAAUCUCCUGGCUUAACUAGGAGGGACCAUCCGAUACUGCAAGGCUAGAGUGCAGCAGGGGAAGAUGGAAUUCCCGGUGUAGUGGUGAAAUGCGUAGAUAUCGGGAGGAACACCAGUGGCGAAGGCGGUCUUCUGGGCUGUUACUGACGCUGAGGCCCGAAAGCGUGGGGAG
rnacentral:rRNA from 1 species